rfam:Parabacteroides merdae CAG:48 genomic scaffold, scf61
UACAUUUGCCACCGAAUCGGUUCUGUAUUUCCCGUUCGGGAAUAUGGAUUAAAAGGGAAUCGGGUGUAAAUCCCGGACAGUCCCGCUGCUGUGAAGCUCCGUUUUAACAUCUUGGAACUACUUUCGCCACUGACUUGUUAUAAUUAAGUCGGGAAGGCUUCAGGAUGGGAGUCAGUCAGAAGACCUGCCGUUCAUUAUAAGGUUCA